UAGGGAAUCUUCCGCAAUGGGCGAAAGCCUGACGGAGCAACGCCGCGUGAGUGAUGAAGGUCUUCGGAUCGUAAAACUCUGUUAUUAGGGAAGAACAAAUGUGUAAGUAACUAUGCACGUCUUGACGGUACCUAAUCAGAAAGCCACGGCUAACUACGUGCCAGCAGCCGCGGUAAUACGUAGGUGGCAAGCGUUAUCCGGAAUUAUUGGGCGUAAAGCGCGCGUAGGCGGUUUUUUAAGUCUGAUGUGAAAGCCCACGGCUCAACCAUGGAGGGUCAUUGGAAACUGGAAAACUUGAGUGCAGAAGAGGAAAGUGGAAUUCCAUGUGUAGCGGUGAAAUGCGCAGAGAUAUGGAGGAAAACCAGUGGCGAAGGCGACUUUCUGGUCUGUAACUGACGCUGAUGUGCGAAAGCGUGGGGAUCAAACAGG
rnacentral:rRNA from 1 species